UUGGGCUAUCGCCAAGCGGUAAGGCACCGGCUUUUGAUGCCGGCAUUCCCUGGUUCGAAUCCAGGUAGCCCAGCCA
rnacentral:tRNA from 1 species